GGGGACGAUUUUGGUUUCGACUGCAAGUGCGUGUCUGUAGCUGCAUGUCGAGUUUCUGCUGGCUCGUUAAAACUGGCAGGCUAAAAUAAGUGCAAAUAACGAUUUAGCUCUCGCAGCUUAAUCCCUGCGGGCGUCUUUACCUGUUCUGCUCCUCUGGGGAUAGUAAAGGCGUAAGAUACAGAGGAUAGCUAUUAAAGAUUGAUCCUGAUUUAAUAGCGAAUCCAAAAGGAUCUGCUCAUUGAGAAGGGUUCCUGUUCCCCAAACCAAUGAAAAGAUUAACGAACAGGAUAAACAUGUAGAGGCUGCAGGUGUGUAUUGUAGGACGCGGGUUCGACUCCCGCCGUCUCCAA
rnacentral:tmRNA from 1 species